rnacentral:rRNA from 1 species
UACGUAGGGUCCGAGCGUUGUCCGGAAUUACUGGGCGUAAAGAGCUCGUAGGUGGUUUGUCGCGUUGUUCGUGAAAACUCACAACUCAACUGUGGGCGUGCGGGCGAUACGGGCAGACUAGAGUACUGCAGGGGAGACUGGAAUUCCUGGUGUAGCGGUGGAAUGCGCAGAUAUCAGGAGGAACACCGGUGGCGAAGGCGGGUCUCUGGGCAGUAACUGACGCUGAGGAGCGAAAGCGUGGGGAGCGAACAGG